rnacentral:rRNA from 1 species
GACGAACGCUGGCGGCGUGCUUAACACAUGCAAGUCGAGCGGAGCGGCGAACGGGUGAGUAACACGUGAGUAACUGCCCCCCUCUCUGGGAUAACAGUUGGAAACGGUUGCUAAUACCGGAUAUUGGGGUAUGACUCGCGUCCUAUCGGCUUGGUGGUGGGGUAGUGGCCUACUAAGGCGACGAAGGGUAGCCGGCCUGAGAGGGCGACCGGCCACAUUGGGCUGAGAUACGUCCCAAACUCCUACGGGAGGCAGCAGUGGGGAAUAGUGCACAAUGGGGGAAACCCUGAUGCAGCAACGCCGCGUGCGGGAUGACGGCCUUCGGGUUGUAAACCGCUUUCAGCCAUGACGCGGUAGUGGCAGAAGAAGCACCGGCUAACUACGUGCCAGCAGCCGCGGUAAUUC